rnacentral:rRNA from 1 species
AGAGUUUGAUCCUGGCUCAGGAUAAACGCUGGCGGCGUGCCUAACACAUGCAAGUCGAACGUCCUCUGGCAACAGAGGGAGUGGCGGACGGGUGAGUAACACGUGGGUAUCUCCCACAAGGUGAGGAAUACCACCGAGAAAUCGGUGACAAGACCGCAUACGCUCGUAAGAGCAAAGCCGCAAGGCGCCCUGUGACGAGCCUGCGUCUGAUUAGCUAGUUGGUGGGGUAAGAGCCUACCAAGGCCACGAUCAGUAGCUGGUCUGAGAGGAUGAUCAGCCACACUGGGAUUGAGAACGGCCCAGACUCCUACGGGGGGCAGCAGUGAGGAAUUUUCGUCAAUGGGGGCAACCCUGAACGAGCAACGCCGCGUGCAGGAAGACACUUUUCGGAGCGUAAACUGCUUUUCUGGGGGAAGAGUAAGGACGGUACCCCAGGAAGAAGCCCCGGCUAACUACGUGCCAGCAGCCGCGGUAAUACGUAGGGGGCAAGCGUUGUCCGGAGUUACUGGGCGUAAAGCGCCCGCAGGCGGUCUUUUCAGUUCAGACUGACAGGUCCCAGCUUCACUGGGAGAGGCGUAUGAAGACGGGAAGACUUGAGCGAUAGAGAGGGACAGGGAAUUCCGGGUGGAGUGGUGAAAUGCGUAGAUAUCCGGAGGAACACCAAAGGCGAAGGCACUGUCCUGGCUAUCUGCUGACGCUCAUGGGCGAAAGCGAGGGGAGCGAACGGGAUUAGAUACCCCGGUAGUCC